AGCCUACGGGAGGCAGCAGUGAGGAAUAUUGGUCAAUGGGCGGGAGCCUGAACCAGCCAAGUCGCGUGAGGGAAGACGGUCCUAUGGAUUGUAAACCUCUUUAGGCGGGGAGCAAUGCCGGGCACGCGUGCCCGGAGGGAGAGUACCCGCAGAAUAAGCAUCGGCUAACUCCGUGCCAGCAGCCGCGGUAAUACGGAGGAUGCGAGCGUUAAUCGGAAUUACUGGGCGUAAAGCGCGCGUAGACUGUUGUGUAAGUUGGGGGUGAAAUCCCACGGCUCAACCGUGGAACAGCCCUUGAUACUGCG
rnacentral:rRNA from 1 species